rnacentral:rRNA from 1 species
CAAAAAAGUAGGGAAGUGUGUGAGCCAUGAAUCAAGAAAAGCCGCUAUUGUUUUUAAGAUACCCGUACCGUAAACCGACACAGGUGGAUGAGGAGAGAAUCCUAAGGCCGGCGGAAGAAGCAUUGUUAAGGAACUCGGCAAAAUGACCCCGUAACUUCGGGAGAAGGGGUGCCAACGAGAGUUGGCCGCACAGAAUAGGCUCAAGCAACUGUUUAGCAAAACCACAGGUCUAUGCAAAACCGUAAGGUGAGGUAUAUGGGCUGACGCCUGCCCGGUGCUGGAAGGUUAAGAGGAGAGGUUAGCGCAAGCGAAGCUUUGAAUUUAAGCCCCAGUAAACGGCGGCCGUAACUAUAACGGUCCUAAGGUAGCGAAAUUCCUUGUCGGGUAAGUUCCGACCCGCACGAAAGGCGUAAUGAUUUGAGCGCUGUCUCGACAAUGCAUCCGGUGAAAUUGAAGUACCAGUGAAGAUGCUGGUUACCCGCGCCAGGACGGAAAGACCCCAUGGAGCUUUACUCCAGUUUGGUACUGGGGUCCGGCAGUGCAUGUACAGGAUAGGUGGGAGGCUGUGAACCUGGAACGCCAGUUUCAGGGGAGCCAUUGUUGGGAUACCACCCUUGUGCUGCUGGGCUUCUAACCAGCGGCCUUUAUCAGGCCGGGGGACAAUGCCAGACGGGGAGUUUGACUGGGGCGGUCGCCUCCGAAAGGGUAUCGGAGGCGCUCAAAGGUUCCCUCAGAAUGGUCGGAAACCAUUCGAAGAGUGCAAAGGCAGAAGGGAGCUUGACUGCGACACCGACGGGUGGAGCAGGUACGAAAGUAGGACUUAGUGAUCCGGUGGUAUUAAGUGGGAAUGCCAUCGCUCAACGGAUAAAAGCUACCCUGGGAUAACAGGCUUAUCACUCCCAAGAGUUCACAUCGACGGAGUGGUUUGGCACCUCGAUGUCGGCUCAUCGCAUCCUGGGGCUGUAGUAGGUCCCAAGGGUUGGGCUGUUCGCCCAUUAAAGCGGUACGCGAGCUGGGUUCAGAACGUCGUGAGACAGUUCGGUCCCUAUCCGGCGUGGGCGUAGGAUAUUUGAGAGGAGCUGUCCUUAGUACGAGAGGACCGGGAUGGACUGACCUCUGGUGUACCGGUUGAACCGCCAGGUUCACGGCCGGGUAGCCAAGUCGGGAAGGGAUAAACGCUGAAGGCAUCUAAGCGUGAAGCCCCCCUCAAGAUGAGAUAUCCCAUUCGAAAGAAGUAAGACCCCUUGAAGACGACGAGGUAGAUAGGGCAGAGGUGGAAGUGCCGUAAGGCAUGGAGCUGACUGUUACUAAUCGGUCGAGGGCUUGACC